rnacentral:rRNA from 1 species
CAGUAGCCGCGGGAAUACGUAGGGUGCAAGCGUUAAUCGGAAUUACUGGGCGUAAAGCGUGCGCAGGCGGUUAUAUAAGACAGAUGUGAAAUCCCCGGGCUCAACCUGGGAACUGCAUUUGUGACUGUAUAGCUAGAGUACGGCAGAGGGGGAUGGAAUUCCGCGUGUAGCAGUGAAAUGCGUAGAUAUGCGGAGGAACACCGAUGGCGAAGGCAAUCCCCUGGGCCUGUACUGACGCUCAUGCACGAAAGCGUGGGGAGCAAACAGGAUUAGAUACCCCAGUAGUCCCUGUCUCUUAUAA